UACGGAGGGUGCAAGCGUUGUCCGGAUUUAUUGGGUUUAAAGGGUGCGUAGGCGGCUUUUUAAGUCAGUGGUGAAAGACAACAGCUCAACUGUUGCAGUGCCAUUGAUACUGAAGAGCUUGAGUACAGAUGAGGUAGGCGGAAUUUAUGGUGUAGCGGUGAAAUGCAUAGAUACCAUAAAGAACACCUAUUGCGAAGGCAGCUUACUAAGCUGUAACUGACGA
rnacentral:rRNA from 1 species